rnacentral:rRNA from 1 species
CGGCGGACGGGUGAGUAACGCGUGGGUAACCUACCCUGUACACACGGAUAACAUACCGAAGGGUAUGCUAAUACGGGAUAAUAUAUUUGAGAGGCAUCUCUUGAAUAUCAAAGGUGAGCCAGUACAGGAUGGACCCGCGUCUGAUUAGCUAGUUGGUAAGGUAACGGCUUACCAAGGCGACGAUCAGUAGCCGACCUGAGAGGGUGAUCGGCCACAUUGGAACUGAGACACGGUCCAA